rnacentral:lncRNA from 10 species
CUCAGGGCUGCUUUUUUCCUGCAGAGAAGUGUGCAGUGAGGGACUUGGGCAGACAGCAUGAGAGGCAGAGUCUUUGCUUACCUGGAGGUUGCCUUCUAAUGUACUGGGCUCCUGGGAGUGCAUGAAGGCUUCUUAGAUGAAGAGUAAUGGGGAUGUCUUACACAGCAAGAUGAGAAAACACAGACCACUUGGCUCUCUAGCGAGGACCAGAAUUUGAGUCAAAAUUAUAUGAAAGCAACAGCCCACAAUUGCCUGCAUUUUCUUUCCUCUUCAAAACCACUUCUGCUCCAAAGACCAUGAACCUGAACUGAAGAAACGACUCCUUCCUGCUGGUGUGAGAUAAUUCAGUCUCCAUGAUGUCUUAAUCCUGGGCCUCCCUUAAUUGACUUCUAACUGUGCUGAACUGUGGCUGCUAGGAGUUGCAAUGUGGAUCGCAAUUUACAAGGAAGAGAAAAAGACCGGUCUCUGUUUGGAAAUUACAAACAUAGAAGAACUUAGAAACAAUGGGUUUCUAGAUUGGGUGGAAGGACUGGCUUGGGAUCCUGAGAGAGCAAGAAAAGUUUACCGGGAGCUUCAGAAAAAGUUAUUCAUCAUUUUUGGAGUGGAUAUUCAGAAGUGACUUCCCUCUUUUGCUCUGGUGCCUGGCUACUUCAAGAGUUGAGCUAAUCACAGGGAAGAUUCAGUCUCAGUUCAGCUGCCUCAUUUGAUCAGCUCAAGACUGAGUCCAACAAAAGUGGUCUGUCUAAUGAAACUCAUUUUCAUUUUUUCUCAUUAGUCUAUACACGAUUGAGACUGUAGAACGACAAAAGAAUAAAAAGAAGAAUGACAAUUAAAAAUCAUUUUCUCUGGCCCUUGAUUUUUGCCUUCUUUUUUUUAAAUGUAGUUACGUGCUCAUUUUUUGUUUCUUUUUUAUUCUCUGCUCUUCUUUUCUAUUGAUUUUCCCAUUUAUGAAGGGGGAAUUAGUAAAUCCAUGGUCUGAGUGCUGAGAUGUUCUGAUAGGCCUUCAAGUUUUCAGCUGUACUCUGAAUCAGAAUAAUAUACUCCAUCAAGGAGACUGACAUUGGCACCACCUUCCCAGAAAUCCAGGAGCGCCUUUGCAUGAGGAAAAGCAGAAGGGAGUAAAGUCAUGAAACAUUGUGUGUGUGUUUGUAUAAAACUGUAUAUUUUUGCUCACAUAUAAUAACUAUAUAUUUCUGCUAAUUUUUCCUUUUAAAGGCUAUUAAGUUACUUAAAAUCCAUUGCCUAAUAAAACUGCAAUUCACCUUUGUAAUUCACUCAUUUGUUUGCUGUCACAGGGAAGAUAGAAAUUGAGCACGUUUUCGGCUGGGUGUGGUGGCUCACGCCUGUAAUCCUAGCACUUGGGGAGGCCGAGGUGGGCGGAUCACGAGGUCAGGAGAUCGAGACCAUCCUGGCUAACAUGGUGAAACCUCGUCUCCACUA